rnacentral:rRNA from 1 species
GAUAAGAUGACCGGGGGACAGAUUCCCGGGCAAGCGCAGGAGGUGUCAGACAGGCAAAUCCGUCUGACAAGCCAAAGGCGUGACGCGGACCGAACUAAAGUAGGGAAGCGUCUGAUUCCAGCUGCCGAGAAAAGCCGCUAUUGUGUACCAUGUGCCCGUACCGUAAACCGACACAGGUGGAUGAGGAGAGAAUCCUAAGGCCGGCGGGAGAAGCAUUGUUAAGGAACUCGGCAAAAUGACCCCGUAACUUCGGGAUAAGGGGUGCCAGAGAGAUCUGGCCGCAGAGAAUAGGCUCAAGCAACUGUUUAGCAAAAACACAGGUCUAUGCGAAACCGUAAGGUGAUGUAUAUGGGCUGACGCCUGCCCGGUGCUGGAAGGUUAAGAGGAGAGGUUAGAGCAAUCGAAGCUUUGAAUUGAAGCCCCAGUAAACGGCGGCCGUAACAAUAACGGUCCUAAGGUAGCGAAAUUCCUUGUCGGGUAAGUUCCGACCCGCACGAAAGGCGUAAUGAUUUGAGCGCUGUCUCGACAAUGCACCCGGUGAAAUUGAAAUACCAGUGAAGAUGCUGGUUACCUGCGCCAGGACGGAAAGACCCCAUGGAGCUUUACUCCAGCUUGAUACUGGGAUUCGGUAAUGCAUGCACAGGAUAGGUGGGAGGCUACGAGUACGGAACUCCGGUUUCGUAUGAGCCGCUGUUGGGAUACCACCCUUGCGUUACUGGGUUUCUAACCAUGGUCCAUGAUCUGGAUCGGGGACAAUGUCAGGUGGGGAGUUUGACUGGGGCGGUCGCCUCCGAAAGGGUAUCGGAGGCGCUCAAAGGUUCCCUCAGAAUGGUUGGAAACCAUUCGAAGAGUGCAAAGGCAGAAGGGAGCUUGACUGCGAGACCGACGGGUCGAGCAGGUAGGAAACUAGGACUUAGUGAUCCGGUGGUAUGAAAGUGGGAUUGCCAUCGCUCAACGGAUAAAAGCUACCCUGGGAUAACAGGCUUAUCACUCCCAAGAGUUCACAUCGACGGAGUGGUUUGGCACCUCGAUGUCGGCUCACCGCAUCCUGAGGCUGAAGUAGGUCCCAAGGGUUGGGCUGUUCGCCCAUUAAAGCGGUACGCGAGCUGGGUUCAGAACGUCGUGAGACAGUUCGGUCCCUAUCCGGCGCAGGCGGAGGAUAUUUGAGAGGAGCUGUCCUUAGUACGAGAGGACCGGGAUGGACGGACCGCUGGUGUACCGGUUGAGCUGCUAAGCUCAUGGCCGGGUAGCCAAGUCUGGCAGGGAUAAACGCUGAAGGCAUCUAAGCGUGAAGCCCCCCUCAAGAUGAGAUAUCCCAUUCGAAAGAAGUAAGACCCCUUGAAGACGACGAGGUAGAUAGGGCAGAGGUGGAAGUGCAGUAAUUACGGAGCUGACUGUUACUAAUCGGUCGAGGGCUUAUC